rnacentral:rRNA from 1 species
AUGGCAAUUGUAAAGCCGUCUGGUGAGCUUCUCAGGCUCCUCACCUUCCUCAUAUGCCUACUCCAUCAUAGCAACGCAGGCUAUGACGUCGAGUCGGUCCUCGGGGCGCGGAGCCUAUUAUCGGCCAAUCUGAAACUUGUAGGUGGGACAACGGAGUUCGGUCCUGAUGUCAAGAGGCUCGACCUAACUGCAAGGCAAAGACGGAUAGCCGACUCCACGUGCGCAUCACCGAUGCCGACCAUCCACGAUGAGAGGUCCCCCAAGACAUCAUCCCCGCGGCCAACGUCAGUGUUAGAGGAUGUUUUGCUCGGAUCGCCAGACAUGGACAAUGCCACCUUGCCGAGCAGCGCCACCAUCUCCAAGGUGUCUUCGGACCUGACCUUCUCCAUCCACACGAAUCCAUUCCGCUACACCGUCUCCCGCCGCUCCACCGGUGACAUCCUCUCCGACACUUCUCCAACCCUCAUCUUCAAGGACCGGUACUUGGAGGUGACGACGGCGCUUCCAGCCGGGCGGGCAUCAUUGUACGGGUUCGGCGAGCACACGAAACGGACGUUCCGGCUCCAGCCCAAUGACACGUUCACGCUGUGGAACGAGGACCUGGAGAGGUCAGACCAACUGGACCGUAACCUCUACGGCUCGCACCCAUUCUACAUGGAUUUCAUCGGCCGCCCUGCCCCCAUGCCAUACUGGUCAUUCGGGUUCCACCAGUGCAGGUAUGGCUACAAGAAUGUGGCUGAUCUGGAGGAGGUGGUCGCCGGCUACGCCAAGGCCAAGAUCCCACUGGAGGGGAUCUGGUCAGACAUCGACUACAUGGACGGCGGCCAGGAUUUCACGCUCGAUCCGAUCAACUUCCCGGCGAGCCAUCUCCGGCCGUUCGUCGACCGGCUCCACAGCAACGGCCAAAAGUAUGUGGUCAUCAUAGACCCAGAGAUCAAAAGACAAGCAACGCCUAACGAGGACUUUUUCCUCAAGAGAAACGGCACCAACGUGGUGGGAAGGGUGUGGCCAGGCGAGGUGUACUUCCCGGACUUCAUCAACCCACGCGCCGUGGAGUACUGGGCGCAGAAGAUCUCCGAGUUCCGGCGAACCAUCCCCGUAGACGGGCUGUGGUGCGACAUGAACGAGCCCUCCAACUUCGGGGCCUGGCAGCCGCUCAAUGCGCUGGACGACCCACCAUACCACAUCAACAAUUCCGGCACGCAUCGUCCCCUCAACAACCAAACCGUGCCGGUCUCCACUGUGCACUACAAUGGCGUGUCCGAGUACGACGCGCACAACCUCUUCGGCCUCUUCGAGGCACGUGCCACGCAUGCCGCACUGCUCAAGGACACGGCACGCCGCCCCUUCAUGCUCAGCCGCUCCACCUUCCCCGGAGCGGGACGGUACGCGGCGCACUGGACCGGCGACAAUUCCGCGCGGUGGGACGAGCUUGCCAACUCCAUCAACACUAUGCUCAGCUUUGGCCUCUUUGGCAUCCCCAUGGUCGGCGCCGACCUAUGCGGCUUCAGGGGUAACACAAGCCAGGAGCUCUGCAGCCGCUGGAUCCAGCUCGGUGCAUUCUACCCGUUCGCGAGGGCGCACAUGGAGAGAACCACCGAACGACGAGAGCUCUAUGUGUGGGAGUCGACGGCGCAGUCGGCGAGGAAAGCGUUCGGGACGCGGUACCGGAUGCUCCCCUACAUGUACACGCUCAUGUACGAGGCGCACACAACAGGGGCGCCCAUCGCCCGCCCGCUCUUCUUCUCCUACCCGCAGGACGCCGACACCUACGGCGUGGACAAGCAGUUCCUGCUCGGGCGCGGCGUGCUUGUAUCUCCGGUGCUACAGCCGGGUGCCACCACCGUCGACGCCUAUUUCCCGGCGGGCCGGUGGUUUAGUCUCUAUGACCACAACUACCCCCUCACCGUCGCCACACGGACCGGCAAGCGUGUUACACUUCAGGCGCCAGUGGACUCGGCUAACAACGACACAGCCAGUGGGGAGCUAUUCUUGGAUGACGGCGAGUCCAUGGAGAUGGGCGGGGUGGGAGGCAAGUGGACCCUGGUGAAAUUUAGCUGCAGCACGGAGGAGAGCAAGGGUAUCAUCACGACCACGGUGAGUUCCCAUGUGGUGCAGAACUCAUACGUGCUGAGUCGGGCGCAGGUCAUCGGCAACAUGGUCUUUAUGGGGCUCCAGUCGCCAGCAAAAGGGUUCACUAUCUAUGUGAACAACGUUGAGCUCAAGGCAGCCCGCACCAAGUCCCGGACGAGUGGAGCGUUUAGCGUCAGUGGCCUGUCGCUGGCCAUUGGAAAGGAGUUCCAGAUCAAGGUCGUCAUGUCCCAUUAA